rnacentral:lncRNA from 10 species
GUUUCACUCUGUUGCCCAGGCUGGAGUGCAGUGACAUGAUCUCGACUCAUUGCAACCUCCUCCUCCCAGGUUCAAGCAACUCUCCUGCCUCAGCCUCCCGAGUAGCUUGGAACUACAGAUGUGUGUCAAAAUGAAAGAAAGAAAAUACUGAACUAACAAGAUGAUUGAGAAGAGACAUGAAAUAAUUCAAACAGCUCUGCCACUCUGAAUGUUAGAACCGCAUUCCAGAAGAUGUCAUAACUCUGCAACUCAAAGCACAAGUUCAUUUGCGACAGCAUCACAAGCAUUAUGGAAGUCAUGGAUUUCAGGCCCACUGUCCAGUGGAUGUUGUUACAUAUGUUGAUAAUUUCACUUUACUGUCACAAUUUAGACUUUUAUUUUAGUAUGUCAUAUUUUUAUUGAGGAAAAUAUCUGUGGUUAACUAAUAAAUACACAAAGCUAAUCAGAUGGGUCUAUAAUGUUUAAUGAACAAUAACAAUAGUAAUAAUGGCUGCUAUUAAGGGUUCUUAAUUUAUGCUAAUACCAGUGUAGGUAACUUGGAAUAAAUUAACUCAUUUACUCUUCAGAUUCUAUUAAAUGGUAAUAUUAACCCCAUUCAGCCAGGGCAAGCAAGGCUAGAUAUUAAUCUCAUUCUCAAUGAUUCUCAAACUCAACUUCUUAAAGGCUCUGCUUUACAUUUCGCUUGUAGGAAAAGCAGAAUAUUUGCAGCUAGUGAACUAUAAGGGUAGGUCUCCCCAUCUGUCAUUACAGUACAUCUGCUAACUUUUCUUACCAUUUUACAUUGCAUCUCAGGCAGGCACACAAAUAUUAGGAGAGUAUAGUUCUCAAAACCAUUUAGCCACUUAUUUAUUCAUUCAAUGGAUAUAUAUUGAGUACCCACUAUAUUCCAGAUAUUGUUUUGUUUUAGGUGCUGAAUAGAAGAACAUAUGAAAUGUGCAUAACCCUGUGGAAUGAACUAGGAGUAAAAUAUGUUCGCUAUAAUUGUGAAUAUAAAAUUAAAGAAACUAUGUCGAAACAGAAGAAAAAUCUGUAACUAAGAAUGUUCAAAUGUUCUGCAAUUUUUCUAUUAGAUUUACUGCUUUUUCAUUCUUUUACUCCUCUGCUAGAUAUUGCUAACAAUUUAGCACUAAUUGAUAGAAUAGGUUUGAUAGUGAAAUGUGCACGAAAGAAUAAUAGAGAAAUUCUAAGGCUUUUAUGUUUUUUGCAAAUUGAGGUAAGACUUUUGUUAUUCAAUUUGCAUUCAACUCAGGUCAAGAAAUAUCAGUAUUCUCUUAGUGCAUAAUUUGAUAAUUACCAACAUGGGAUGAAUCAACUCUAAAAAAUAAAUUUAUAUUUAUAUUUUGGAUAUACUUUGAAGAUUUCAAGCAAUAGAGAAAUGCUGUUAAUUAAUGGCUACCAUAUUAAAAGUACUUGCUAUUUCACCAUAAUUCUAAUUUGUAUUUCAUAUGCAUUAAAACAUUUAAUAUUCCCCCAAAAAAACAUGAAAUAGGUAUUCAGUUGCUCUCUAUUUACUGAAGACUUCCAAUGCCAUAUUUUAAGUUUAUUUUAGAUGAGAAAAAAUAUGCUUAAGAGGUUCAGCACUUGCUUAAGAUCACAUGGUAAAUAAGUAAUACAGCCAGGAUUUUAGAAUAAGACUUUUUGCUUCCAGCACUAUGUAAUUUUCACAACAUAGCAACACUGUCUUCCACUACCAUCUGGUAUUUGGAUAGAGAAAAUAUCUAAAACAUUAAUUAUUAAGUAUUCUUCUGAAUAUAUAAGGUAGGA